AGGACUAGAGUCUGUUUGCUUGAUCUCAAAAAUUUCUAUCUGCUUUUGGUGAGAAAUUGAUCUUUCAUAGGAAGAUAAUGAAGCAUGAUUGAUCGAAUUUUCUCUCAUAGUUUCAAACAAAGUAUAGGCUUCAUCCUCACUCUUACUCAUGAAUGCACCUCCAUAAGAUGCAUCUACCAUCUGUCGGUAAUUGGUCACCUAAAUCC
rnacentral:lncRNA from 1 species